rnacentral:rRNA from 1 species
GACAGAGGUGCCGAGCGUUAGGCGGAAUCACUGGGCUUAAAGCGUGUGUAGGCGGGUCGUUAAGUACCUUGUGAAAUCCCCCGGCUCAACCGGGGAACUGCUGGGUAUACUGGCGAUCUUGAGCGAUCUAGGGGCAGAUGGAACAAGUGGUGGAGCGGUGAAAUGCGCAGAUAUCAGGAGGAACACCGGUGGCGAAGGCGGGUCUCUGGGCAACAACUGACGCUGAGGAGCGAAAGCGUGGGGAGCGAACAGG